UCCCCGCGUGGUCCUAGUGGUUAGGAUACCUGGCUCUCACCCAGGAGGCCCGGGUUCAAUUCCCGGCGCGGGAA